rnacentral:rRNA from 1 species
GACGAACGCUGGCGGCGUGCUUAACACAUGCAAGUCGAACGAAGUGGCGAACGGGGGAGUAAUGCGUAAUCAAACUGCCCUUCAGAGGGGGACAACAGUUGGAAACGACUGCUAAUACCGCAGACAGAUGGACGGCAGUGUGUCUGAUUAGCUAGUUGGAGGGGUGACGGCCCACCAAGGCGGUGACCAGGAGCCGGUCUUAGAGUGUGACCGGCCACAUUGGGACUGGGGCACGGCCCAGACUCCUACGGGAGGCAUCAGUGGGGAAUCUUCCGCAAUGGACGAAAGUCUGACGGAGCAACGCCGCGUGAGUGAUGACGGCCUUCGGGUUGUAAAGCUCUGUUAAUCGGGACGCGGUACCGGAAUAGAAAGCCACGGCUAACUACGUGCCAGCAGCCGCGGUAAUUC